CCGAACGCGGUGGUGUAGGGUUUCUUUUUCCUUUUUUCCCGAAAUGCAUGUCCCUUCUGCGUUAGAAAAUCCCUUCUCACUUUCCCAAACGCGCAGCCUUCUUUCGUUAGUCAUACCCUACAGGUGAAUUCAAUUCCAUUCCCGCGGAUUUUUAUUUCGCUUCCUUGUCCCAUCCUGUGAAGCUCCCGUCUCCUUGCUCCGGCUUUCACAGAGAACCGAAAGAUCCUUUCUCUCUGUUCCGGCUGCCGCUCCCCUUUGCAAAGGUGUCCCAUCUCUCUCGCCAAACUGCUGCUCAGUCUUGUAAUACAAGCAGGGCCCUGCUCUGGAGACAUUCCAGCACGAGCUAGAGAAGGAAAAGCACUACGAAGAAGUCUUGCAGCUGCCAAUAAUGGAAGGGUUAGAUGACACCAGCGUCAUGGUAGAGAUGAAAGCGGCACUAAGGCAGUAUGAGCAGAUAGGAUCAAACCUUGGGAUCACUGCCACCUGCAAUUUUCCGCUGCAGAUCCAAGCAGAUUAACCAGAUGGAUAAUCGGGGAGGAGGGCAGAAAGAGGUUCAAAGGUGUCAUCAAAGAUAGGAGUGAUUGAGUCGUUACUGGAAAAGGUUGAUAUUCUUCUUCUUGGUGGAGGAAUGAUCUUCACAUUUUAGAAGGCACAAGGUCUUUCAGUGGGAUCACCACUAGUGGAAGAGGAUAAGCUCGAUCUUUCUUGAGAAAGCCAAAGCCGAAGGAGUAUCUCUCUUGUUGCCCUCUGAUGUUGUUAUUGCUGACAAAUUUGCUCCUGAUGCCAACUGCAAGACUGUUCCACUUUCUGCGAUCCUUGAUGGUUGGAUGGACUUGAUACUGGUCCCGACUCCAUCAAGACAUUCAGUUAGCUAAAGGCACCUACCCUACAUCUAAACCCCCUAGAAAGUUGAAAAGGGAAGACGGUUAAUUUCCCUUCACAAAUUGUGCAUUGCUGAAAGUUUCAUUUUUGGAAGAACUCCAAUGUCCCCGAGGGGACAUUGGAACAUUCUUCUUCACAGAGUGUGACCAGCAUUUCUGGCCCCAUAUCAAUGAGACACAAUAAGCAAUUGCAGCAUAGAAGAAGAAGAAGAAGAAGAAUAAGAAGAAGAAGAAGGUGAAAUGUAUAUGCCCAGCAGGGGGGUUGUUGGGAGCUGACGAUUGUCCUAUACUCUUUGUUCGCAUUAGAAGGCCUCCAAAGUCCCUUGGAUGGUGCGGUGAUAGAUAUUGUAUGAGGGCUAGGGUGAGUCCUCAUGUGGCCCAAAUGAGUGUGCUGUCCAUGUUUCUUAAAGCAGCAGCAUGGCCCUGAGUAAGGGGGAAUUAAGUCUUGUAAUGUUGAAAAUAAGAGAUGGAAGUCUUGUAAAAUCUUGGAUUGAUCUAAUUAUCUCGUCACUUUUGAAGAUUAUGAUCAGGUGCAGCAUGAAAUUGGCCCGUUUGUUAGAGACAUCAUCUCUGGUGACAGAAACAGAGAGGGACAAUGGGCAGAAUGGCCUGUCAUUGCUCAGUGUCUUCAGACCCAUCUUUCUAUGGGGAACGAUUCUCUGAUUUGGAGGCAUAAUGGCCAGGUAAUUUUGUCUAGAGCUUGACAAAAUAUUUGUAUUAAAGGAACUAUCAGUUGGCAUGGAAAGAUUUGACUCUCAAAUUCAAUUCCAGGGGCCAAUUGGUUUGUUUAUAUGGGGAGUUAUGGCAGGCUAGUGAUGGAGGCAAAUGGGUAUUGCUUUAGGCUUUUAGCCUCUCAGUGGAGGCUGCUUUUUUCUUCUGUGGAGGAUCAACAGCACAUCAUUUUCUUCUGCUUUGUUCCUAAAUCCAUUUUGUUAUAUGUUAUGGCAUGGUUUGGAAUUCUAUCCUUCCUAAUGGAGACUUUGGUUCUACUUGUAAAGAAUUCAAAAAGUUGUGGAUACUUUGCUUUAAUGUUGUUUAUAUGGAGAAUUUGGACAAUUAGGAAUCAUGUGUAUCAUUCUGCGCAUGUUCAAUCCAUUAUGCAUAUAAAAAGGGAUGGUUGGCAGACAUGCUCUGAGGCAUUCUUUAAGCAGAAGUGGCAGGAACAGGUUUUGGUGGCUAUAAAACUGUGGCUCAAGACCAAGAUUCUCUCCUUUUAGGAAAGUAAAUCCUCCUAAUGGCUGGGUAAUUGAAAUUUUAAGUAUGCUGUCAAAAGGUGUUCCUCUAUGUGGAGCUGUUCUUCUGCUCAAUGAUAGUCUUAUGUGCAGAAAAUGUGCAUCAGAUCAUGAAGAGGUAGGCAUGGUUGAAACAUCUCUCCUGUUUGCACAUGGUUCCAAGAACUGAGCAGUCUAUUCAUCUAUUGCUGUUGAAUCCAACAACAGAAUUUGGAUGAGAUGGCUUCAAGACAGAAAAUUGAAGAUGGCAUUGGAUAUCAAGAGUUUUAUGAGAAGAAUAUCAAGGAACAACUUCAGAAGAGAACUCCAUAAUUUUCUUAUCUUAAUGUUGAGUUAAUAAAAAAAGUAUGAAUUUCUGUGAAGUGCAGGGACAAUUGUCUGAUUUUCAGCAUUGUCACAUACAAUGCAUAUUAUUCGAAAAAAACACGUAUUAUACAUGUUUUUUUUCUCCCUUUUUUGUAUUUUAUUUUUUUAUAAUUUUCAGGUUUAUUAAAUGUUUAAAUUUGUUAAAAAUUUGUCAAGAUUUUCCCAAUAUAUAUACCAAAAAAAUUCCUCGUCGUAUAAUACCCGUAUAUGAUAUAUGUGACAAUGAUUUUCAGCACCUAUUUUCUGUUGGUGGAAAUUCUCAGUGACAAGAUGGCCAAAAGCUGUCAGCUUGCAUCUAUUCUAUAUUAUGUCCUUGAAAACCUGGAACCUGAACAAAAAAUUAACAAGGAAGUCAACCUGUGAAGUAUGACUUUCUUUUAACUCGCUAUUGCUCUUAUAUGAAAGUGACAAAUGCAUUCCAUUAGGCCUGGGCGUCGGACUGGGCCGCCAUCGGGUACCCAGACCGGUCGAGCUCGGGUCCGGGUUAGAAGUUAUAGUAUCGGGAUUUAGCCCGUUGUGCCCGACCCGGCCCGACAUCAUAACGGGCCAGGUUCGGGUUAACUAAAUUGGCCUGUUGGGGCUCGUUAAGGCAUUAACUUGAAAAUUCGACUUCGGCUGUUCGAGUCUUCGACUAACAAUUCGA